rnacentral:rRNA from 1 species
AACUAACGCUGGCGGCGUGCCUAACACAUGCAAGUCGUACGAGAAAGUUGGCUUCGGCCGAUGAGUACAGUGGCGCACGGGUGAGUAACGCGUGGAUAAUCUGCCCUUAAGUGUGGAAUAACGUACCGAAAGGUGCGCUAAUACCGCAUAAUGCCUGGCAACAUAAGUUGUCCGGCCAAAGAAGGCCUCUGCUUGCAAGCUUUCGCUAAAGGAUGAGUCCGCGUACCAUUAGCUAGUUGGUGGGGUAACGGCCUACCAAGGCGACGAUGGUUAGCUGGUCUGAGAGGAUGAUCAGCCACACUGGAACUGAGACACGGUCCAGACUCCUACGGGAGGCAGCAGUAGGGAAUAUUGGGCAAUGGGCGAAAGCCUGACCCAGCCAUGCCGCGUGAAGGAAGACGGCCUUAUGGGUUGUAAACUUCUUUACUACGCGAAUAGAGGUCAGUACGAGAUACUAAUAGGAAGGUAGUGUAGUAAAAGCACCGGCUAACUCCGUGCC